GGAGGGAUCGCAUAGUUGGUCUAGUGCGGGCGCCUGCUAAGCGCUUGGCCUGGGAGACCGGGCUCGUGGGUUCGAAUCCCACUCCCUCCGCCA
rnacentral:tRNA from 1 species